CCCUGUUUACCUGAGUUGGUAGAGCGCUCCACCUGUAAUUGAAAGGUCCCGGGUUCGAUACCCGGACCAGGCG
rnacentral:tRNA from 1 species